rnacentral:misc_RNA from 1 species
GAAAAUAAUAAAAGAGGCGAACAACACAAGGGGAACUUCACGCCGAGAACGAAGCGGGAGAUUGCGGUGUGUCGAUGCGGCGGAGGCCUUGCACUUGGGUCUUGUAAUAUUAUUGAAUGAAGGACCGUCUCUCUCCCUCUCUCCUGCCUCUCCACUCCGUAGCCUCUCUCGGCGUAUCUUUCUGUCGAAGUGCACACCGCAGGCACUCGGCCACUUUCUGUUUCGGCAACCCAAGUCUCUCUGCUCGCACGAGUAGCGCAACAAGGAACGGCGCGCGGAAAGCGCUCGCAUCGGUGCCGCUAGGCAAUGUCGGCGUCCAAUGCGCCCCCUCCAUUGGAUGCAAAAGACAUCAUUGGCGACAGCGUGAAACAGGUGAAGUUCGAUCGCCAGCUGCGCCUCUGGGGUGCCGAUGGGCAGGCGGCCCUUGAAGCAUCGCAUGUCGUCGCGCUCGGCGUCACGGUGGCUAUCGCCGAAGCUCUGAAGUCGCUCGUGCUGGCCGGCGUGCGUACCGUCACCCUCGUGGACGAGCGGGUUGUGUCUGGCGAGGACGUGGCAAGCAACUACUUUGUGGCGGCCACGGCGAUCGGCUCUCCUCUGGCGGCGACGGUGCUGCAGCACAUCUGCGGGCUGGGGGAGCAGUGCAGGGCGGUGCCGGUUCAGGAGUGCCCGAGGGAAUGGGUGGCCAAGUACCGGGAAGCUGUAGACGCGGACUGGGCUGCUGGUUACGUAGACAGCGGCCGACUUUGGCCAGUAUCAGCGGCCAGGGAGGCGCCGGCGGUGCCGACCGGGACGACAUCUGCUGUGCAGCGAUUCUUCACCGGUUACGCGUCGAUAGCCAUCUUGAACAACACUUCUUCAUCAUCGCACGUCCCCCCAUGCAACUCCACAAACCCGUCACCCACUGCCGAGGAGCCACUGUCUCUGCCGAGCCUCAUGCUUGUCAGUGAGCGCUACGGCGAUUUCUCGCCAGCGUCGCUGCUGCUGCAGACCUGCGCGAAGCGCGUGCAUCCUGAUGUGCCGGUGCUGUUGGUUCGCAGCAGCGGCUUACUCGGAGUGCUUCAAACCUACUGCUGCGACCGCGUCAUUAUGCGCCCGCAGAACCCGACGCAGAUACAGAUGGAGGAUCUGCGCAUCUUUGAGCCGUUUCCGGCGCUGCAGGCGUGGUUUGACGCUCACGACCCAGAUGACGUUGUGCAGUUUCCUGCGGGCAGCGCGGAUGCCAUGACGCUGCACAGUUACCUGCCGUACCCGUGCAUUGUACACCACGCCUUUCGCAGAUGGUGGGCCACGUUGCCGGAAGAGGAGAAAAGGUCGCGGCAGACGUCGUCAUCCUCCUCAAUCUUUCCGCUGAACGCACAGGACUACCGCGCCAUCGCUUCCGUCGUUGGUGGGAUGAUACGACGUCAGGGCGUGCCCGAGGAGGCCUUCGUGGAGGCCAUGGAGAAGUGCACGGCGAAGCUGAACCGACCGGUGGUGCAGCGGCUGCCAGAGGCGCUCGCGAAACUUCUGCGCGAUGCUCGGUGCGCGGACCCGAUGCGCGCUGUGCAGACGGUGCAGUCACGCCUCUCGCCAGCGGCAUUGAUGUCAUCGUCACCGGCUGUGCGCGAGGUGGCAGCACUGCAUGUGUGGGCGUCCCCCGAUGUGCUUGUGUGGUUCAUCCUGCGCGCAGUGCAGCUGUUUGUGACAGGAGAGGUCGGUGACGAGCUGGAGGUGGGCAACGGGGCAUCCACCAGGCCUGCAGCGGUGCACAAAAGUGAACCGAAGGCGGCGGUGGAGGAGCCGGAGGAAGUUGAGUGCGUGAUCGCCUGCGCGGCGCCGCUGCCGCGCGGUGCCGCGUACGCUGCCUAUCGCAUGCCACACUCCGGCUACCUGCCGGACUUCACGACAACCACCAUCUGGUACCGCGAGCUGCAGGAGCUGUACCAGGGAAAGCACGCUGAAGACGUGGCGUGCAUUGCGGCAAGGGCGAUGGAGCUAGUCGAGGCGGCUCUCCAGCAGGAAGAGGAGAAGGAGCUCGAGAGAAAAGACGAAGAGGAGCAACGGCAGCACCGCGGCCCAUCGAGGACGUCGCUGGUGGCGGCGAAGGUGAAGCCGCUACUUCUCCAGUACACGGCGAUGAUUGUCGCGAACAUUUGGGACAUACGAGGCGUCAGUUUCUCGUCUGCCUAUCGCGCCGCUGCGGAGGCGGAGUGGCGGCAACGGCUGGGUCAGCGGCUCGUGUGGCUGACACGUCACAUCUCAUUUGACAUGGAACGCAACGCCGACGCGCGCCGGGCGGCGUGCUUCGCGGUGGCCUAUCUGUGUAAGGAGGAGCUUCAGCGUCGUGGUGCCCGCGCUGAGGAGAGUGACCUAAGCGGGAGUGCCAUCGCGCAGGAGGCUGCCGUGCUCAUGUCGCAGGCGUCCCAGGAGGAGGCCCCCAUUGGCGGUGACGGUGAAGAGCCAGCUCUUGGGCUCUUCGAUGCGUCGCUCGCUCCGUGGUGGUCCGAAGAGGGCUCGCGAAAGCUUUUUGCUCAGGCGUGCGAGGAGGUUGCGCGGUGGGCCCGUGGCAAGGGCGGUGGCGGCGCUUGCGUGCAGCUUCCCUCCGUAGCCGCGUCGACCGGCGCCUUGGCGGCGCAGGAGGCAGUGAAGUUGCUCAUGCGCAUUCACGUUCCGUGCACCAAUCCGAUGCUCUAUGACGGCUACACGAACAAGGUGUUCAUGCUGUGAUUCUCGUGUGCGUCGUGUGCUUGUGUGCGUUCCUCCCCGCACCCGCCUUCCAUCUUGCUACCCCUUCCGCCCCUCUCCGCUGCAGUUAUGCCUUUCGAGAGCACGAGAGAGCGCGCGCACGCGCGCCACAGAGCUCAGAAUGUGAAGCAUCCCAAGAGAAAUCAUGGAAGCGUGGACUCGCUGGUGAAUGCCUUUCUGUGAAACAGUGACGUACCUCCACGGCCGUCAAGACCUUUUCAGCCUCUCUCCUCCUGUCCCCUCCUCAUCUUCCUCCACGGGCUGUCCUAUGUCAAGAUGAUGGUGGGAGGGCAGGGGCCGUGGCCUUUGGUCAUUAGCCAGCAUUCGAGGGAGGGGUUCACGGUUAUCCACGAAGCACUGGGCAUCGCGCCGCAUGUAGGUGCUCAAACCGUGAUCCGCUCUGUUCCACACCCACUCCCCGCCUCUCCUCUCCCUCCGACUCUUCGGCAUUUUUGUGUUCCCAG